UCUUAAUAAUGUUUCAGCUGGAAUAGAAACUUAGUUUACGAAUCAAUGAAGAAGGGAGUCACAAGAGGAAGAAGAGGGCAUACAAAGAUGGACGUGUUUGUGUUUAGUGUCAUCUUAUUUCAUCAUUUUCUCCUCGGUUUUGAGGAAAUUUCUGCUGGGAAGACUGGCCGAUUGAUAGCAACAAGAACCGACAUCAGCUGACCAAGACAUCACUGGGAAUUGACACCAGCUGACCAAGACAUCACUGGGAACUGACACCAGCUGACCAAGACAUCACUGGGAAUUGACAUCAGCUGACCAGGACAUCACUGGGAACUGACAUCAGCUGAUCCAAGACAUAACCAGAAAUUGACACCCACUUGCCACAAUAUCAUAUUGAUGCAGGAGAGCAAAGGACUGCCUGCUGCAAGAAAGUUUAGGUUGCCAUCUCUCUCCUGCAUUGACAGCCGAUUGGUGCCACAGCCCACCAUUCCCUUCAAGCCUAGGGAGCUGGGAGGAACCAGCUGAUCAGUGUUGAGGAGUGGAGAGCAGGCUGGCAGGAGUUGAAGCUUUGAGGUGUUAAAGAAGAGAUGGAGUGGAAGAUGAACCCUGGUGGCUGGAAGCCCUGCAGUCUUGGUAGAAUUGGAGGAUGAACCCUGGUGGCUGGCAGCCCUGCAGAGUCUUGGCAGAAUUGGAGGAUGAAUUCUGCUGCCUGUCAACUCUUUCCUCAAGUGAAGUGCUCUGACUGAAUUGGGCAUCCUCUCAUCACAGUUGAAGAGAACCCAGCUCUGUUUCAAUCCUGUCUGUCUUCAAGUACAAGUGGAGUCCUGACAGAAGUUUAGUAGUGCGCAUCCGUGGGUGAACCCAAGCCACACACGUUGCCCUAGUAUUGAGCGAGAGGUGGUUAAGAAGUCCUGAGGUUGGGAACACCCAGCUCCAGCCUCCUCCACCAUGGAAAAGAUGUGUGUAUGAACUAAAGAAAUUUACUCAUUUGAGUAUCCUCCACCAUGGAAAAGAUGUGCGUGUGUAUGAACUAAAGAAAUUUACAAAAAAAAAAUAAAA